rnacentral:rRNA from 1 species
AGAACGAACGCUGGCGGCAUGCCUAAUACAUGCAAGUCGAACGAACUCUUCGGAGUUAGUGGCGCACGGGUGCGUAACGCGUGGGAAUCUGCCCCUUGGUUCGGAAUAACAGUUGGAAACGAUUGCUAAUACCGGAUGAUGACGAAAGUCCAAAGAUUUAUCGCCAAGGGAUGAGCCCGCGUAGGAUUAGCUAGUUGGUGAGGUAAAGGCUCACCAAGGCAACGAUCCUUAGCUGGUCUGAGAGGAUGAUCAGCCACACUGGGACUGAGACACGGCCCAGACUCCGUACGGGAGGCAGCAGGUAGGAAUAUUAGGACAAGUGGGACGAAAGCCUAGAUCCAGACAAUGCCGCGUGAGUGAGUGAAGGUCCGUUAGGUUGGUAAAGUCUUCGUUUACCCGAGAUGAUAAUGACAGUAGCGGGAGUAAUAACGACCCGGACUAACC